rnacentral:lncRNA from 1 species
GAAUCGCAGACAGAAAGAAACCACAAUGGAUGCAACUAUUUAAGUUUAAAGGGAUCCAGUUGUGAUAUUAACUUGCAAUAGGCAAGAUGUAGAGAUUAAUGCUGAUAAUGGAGUUUGUACAUAGUCUGUUUGCUGUACUAAUCUGAUAUUCAGUGCUAUGUCAUAUGGCUGUGACUACAACGGUACUUACCACUGUAACAUCCUUUGCUGGUCGAAGAGCAGAAUUGAGUACCCAGUUCCAGAACCUGAAGCUACUGCAGCUGCAUCUGCAGGAUGGUCCACUUCUGCUACUACCAUACCUGUGCAGUACUUGGAUACCCAGUACAAGAAAGAUGGACCUUUUCAAUUAGAAGCUUAUGUUCUUCAAGCCUGCAUAUCAGAAAAGAGACUUUGAGCUGCAAACACACAUAAAAGCAAGUGCUUCAGGAUGACCUGGAUCUUGAGAACACCAAAGUCAAGUGCUACACAGUGUGUAGCAGUGUGUACACAGCCCAGAAGAAAACAACACUGAACACUGAAGACACAAUCCAGCCUGUGCUCUGAAGCUUGAGAGCUGAAUUGAAUCUUUGGGUUGAUGCUUUUAGUAUUUAAAGGUAGCCUACUUGGAAUAAGAGCUCCAUUGUCUGAGAUUAUAAAUAAAUAAAUAAAUAAUGAAAAAUGAGUAAUCGUA